GGACUACCAGGGUAUCUAAUCCUGUUUGCUACCCACGCUUUCGUGCCUCAGCGUCAGUCGUGGUCCAGAAAGCCGUCUACACCGCAGGUGUUCCUCCUGAUAUCUACGCAUUUCACCGCUACACCAGGAAUUCCGCUUUCCUCUCCCACACUCAAGCACUCCAGUCUUCGGCGCACCCUCCCAGUUAAGCCGGGAGAUUUCACACCAAACUUAAAGCACCGCCUACGCACUCUUUACGCCCAGUAAUUCCGAACAACGCUCGCUGCCUACGUAUUACCGCGGCUGCUGGCAC
rnacentral:rRNA from 1 species